AGCAGCCGCGGUAAUUCCAGCUCCAAUAGCGUAUAUUAAAGUUGUUGCAGUUAAAAAGCUCGUAGUUUGAAGUUGGGGGGAGUGGGGGAAGUAUACUUAUUUAGUACGCUUAUUUCAACUCUCUCCUAUCAUACGACCGGAUACUGUCGAUGCUCUUAAGUGGGUGCGACAAUUAUCGGUAAGUUUUACUUUGAAAAAAU
rnacentral:rRNA from 1 species